GCUUUGAGGGGUCUGCAACCAGGGAUGAGGAAUUAACACCUCGCAUGCCCCUUUGGAGGCCAUAGUCUUCUCAUCUGUCCUUCUUCACUCUAAAUACAAGAUCAUCUACACCCACAGCCCCCAAGCCCAAAUCUGAGCCAGGAUGACCUCUAAGAGUCAAGAUGAUGAAGAUUUCUGCCUCCUUGGCUGGAUUUAUUCCCAAACCACUCUUCUCUGACGGUCUCAGCAUAGGAAUCUUUCUAGUUAUGUCACUCUCCUGCUUCAAAUCUUUCUACCCCUUCUUAGCAUGGUCUAUAAGGUUGCUUGUGGUCUGCUCUUCUCCAUCACUACAGACUCCCUUCUCUCUUCUGACCUAAGUUCUAGUUGUAAUGAGCGUCUUCUAGCUGCUCAAACUAACCAUUCUCUGUCUUGGCUUCCUGCCUUCACACAACUUGUUUCUACCUUUCCAUCCAACUGGCCCAAAUUCCACACUGGUUCCUCCAGUUAACUCACUUCCUUGUGGAGGCUCGUCCCUUACUUCUAGCAUAGGUGAGUUCCCGACGCCCUGGCUACCAAGAUCCUACUUUCCCUGCAUUGAAGCAACCAACAUGCAUUGCUACUAUCACUCAUUUAUCUCCCUUCCCUGCCAAACUCUAAACCCCUGGAGGGCAGGGGCCUUGUCCAUCUUGUUCAUUGUUGUGUUGUACUGUCCAGCGUGGUGUUUGGACACAUAAGUACUCAGCAAAUAGUUGUUAAAUGAAACACCAACUUCUAUUUAAUCAUGCAUUCAUCAGACAUGCUAACAGCUGAGCGAGGGGCCUGGAGAUUCAGAAAUCGAUGGGCAUUGUAGGUGCUGCAGAAUAUCUCUACUUCCUCCUGUAACCCAUGAACCAUGGAGCUCCUGCCACUCUGGUGAGGGAGCGACCAAGUGAAAAGUGGGAAGCAGGAGAAAAAACCGUGGAUCCCAGCUAUAAAUUAAACAAAUGCUCGGCAUUAAAAAAUUAUUUUAACACAUCAAAUAUUAAGUCAUUCGUAUGCUCUGCAAUUACUUUAUCUGUCAUCAGCACACUCAGGCUAUGUGAAGCGGUGACAGAUGGAAAGGAGUCCAGGCCAAGUUUUCCUGCAGGUGUGCAUCUGGGCUAGCGAGGAGAAUUCUGUACGUGCAGGAAGGGAGGGGAAGGGGCAGGGUGACCGAGGUUAUGAAACUGGAGCUGAUGCUAGAGGCUUGGCAAAAAGUAAGAAUUACAGAUUUGCAUCCUGGAGAGCUGCAGGGCACUGCAGUCCCUGGGAACUGAGCGCGAUGGUUAACCAGGCAGCUCAAGGGAGGCGAAACAGCAUGCUGCCCACAUCACAGGAGGGGAAAAUCAAGGCCCAGCAUAACUGAGCCCUUAGUAGGGCAGAGCAAGUAGUUCUGGCUCCUCUCACCCCCUCGUUUGAAGCCUAACCAGUUAGGUGAAUCGAUUCUGAGAGCAGCAACCCAGAGAAAGUCAGGCAAUUGGAAGGGCGGGGAGAAGGGGGUAUGAGAUUGCCCAGAGACUAGGGCUCCUUAGAGGCCAGCGGGUGAGGGAUGGAGGGCUGGCGGGAGGACCAGACACAAAAUAUCUGACCCAGGCCAAGGGAUUUUUCUAGAACAUUUCCUAAUACAGGAUAUGAGCCUGACUCAUAGCAUAAGGAAAGACUGAAUGAAUGGUCCAUUUCAACCCAACCUAAUGCAACACUUUCGCAGGUCUAAGGAGGUGCACUCGUGCCAGGUGGUAUUACAUAUUUGCUCAUGUCUGCUUGUCCCCAACUCCUCCCCCCAACUCCCAAACGUGGGGUUCUGCUUCACACAGCAUCCUUAGCUGCCUCUGACAAGUGAGAACCUCUAUCACCUACUCUAGGAGGGCAGCUGAGUCCCACCCCUCCUGUUACCCACACCAUGAAGCCCACACUCAGCCACUGUCUCUUCCUCCUUCUUCCACGGUCUGUAUUCUGUCCGACACUUUGAUUUCAAAUCACACUGUCUUAACUCCCUUCGUUAACUUUGAUAUCAGGGCUCACCACUCUCCUUGCCUUCUAAUCUCUCCCUCAUAAAUCUGGACAAGUAAAACAGCCCCUCAUGUAGACUGAACCCCCACCUGGACCCCACCCCAAACACACACACACACACACACUUGGCGUGUGGCCAGCUGUAAAAGCAAAUCUGCUCUGCCGUGUUCGUCCUCUGAAGCCAUGACCUACUCGGCAUGAAACGAUGCUGGUUCUCUGCCCUCGUCUCGGGCUGAACAGGAGGGAAAUGACUGAAAGCAUAGCAUGAAGGAAUUUAGGUUGAUAUGAAAAGUAACUUGCAGCUCAUGGAGUUGUGGAUUUCAGGCUUAACAAAGUUCUGAAAGUCCUUUUCCACGUGACCGUGGAAGAUGUCUUUCUGGGGAAGCUUAGGCAGGGCCAUGCUUGGCAGAGGGAUUAGGUCUCCCUGACACCAGGGUGCUCUUGCCCUGUGACAAGGCCACCUCGCUGAGAGCCAACUGCCAAACGGCCACAGUGCUAAAACCAAGACUUGCAGCAAAAUUUCAGGGAACUGACUGACCCAGGGCCUAAGCAGGGCAGUGACAGGGCAGAAGAGGACUGCAGCCCCUGCAGGGCACAGCGUGUGUAGACCAGACAAGCGUAUUCAAAAAUGCCAUCGCUUUGUUUUGGUUUAAUAACAACGUCUGACUUGUUCAGAAAUUUCAGUAACACUAAAGAAAAGGAAAAGAUUUUGAUGUUUCUCAAAAGAGGCAAAGGUUGUUAAGAAUUGAGAAACUCUGUUCUUGGAUAAUGUACAUCUUUUUAAAAUAUUUUUUAUUAAUUUUAUUAAUAAAUGGUUGUUUUCUUAUU